AAAAAAAAAAGAACCCUCCUAUGCUGCACAUUCCUGACUGAGCAGUGGGGAAGCCAACCUUGGAGAGCUGAGCAUUCG
ensembl:snoRNA SNORD39 Small nucleolar RNA SNORD55/SNORD39